GGUGAGAACGAUGCUUUGAUCCUGAAACAAACCAGAUUUACCAAACAACAAAAGCCAAUAAGAGAAACAAUUAGCCUAUAUAAUGAACAAAACAAGGAGAAUAUUACCAAAUGUCACAUAUAGCAAAUAAGAUAUUUAACCAUUGAGAUUAUGCAAUUGAAUCGAUGUGUGAUCAUCAGGGGAAAAAGCAAACAAACUUGGUAAAAAAUGUGAUCAUGCAAGUCUAUUAUGAUCCAAACAGAAUAAACAUUGUGACUCAUCAUUAUCAUAUAAUCAAACUCUAUUUGAUCGACCACUUGAUUGCAUUUGCCAAGAAAUAUAAAGUUAGAAACUUUAGAUUCUAAAUCUUUCAGCUAUUGAUAUCAUCAUCCUCUUCCAUUUCGGAAUCUACAGAGAAACAUCUAUUUAUAUAUUUCAAUCUAAAUCGCCCAGAGAAAACGAACCUUGAUUCAUUAGAUACCAAGGGAUUCCGAAGAUGAUGGAGAUAAUCCCGAUCCCAGCCAAAACGUGCUUCUUCUCCCCACUGUAGACAUAGUGCUCCAUCUUUGCCCUAAUUCCUCCUCCUCCCAAAUUGCUCUUGCUCUCAUUUCCCAUCUCGAUCUCCACAGGUUUUGCUUCUUCUUCUUCUUCUUC